ACAUCAAAACAGAACACACAGAUGUGAAGUUCCAUGAGUGUGACCAGUGCAAGGAGCUCUUCCCCACACCUGCUCUGCUCCAGGUUCACGUCAAGUGCCAGCAUUCAGGGUCGCAGCCAUUCCGGUGCUUGUACUGUGCAGCCACCUUCCGCUUCCCGGGAGCCCUGCAGCACCACGUCACCACAGAGCACUUUAAGCAGUCGGAAAGCACCUUCCCCUGCGAGCUCUGUGGCGAGCUCUUCACCUCCCAGGCCCAGCUUGAUAGCCACUUGGAGUCUGAGCACCCAAAGGUGGCAGGCACUGAGUCCCAGGCAGCUGCCUCUCGCAUGGUGCAGGUGAUCCGAGCUCCGGAGCCAGCGGCCCCGGCCGAGCAGGUGAUCACGUUGGAGGAGACGCAGCUCGCUGGCUCGCAGGUGUUUGUGACCUUGCCAGAUUCACAGACCUCUCAGAACAGCUCCGAGCUUGUGGCAGUGACGGUGGAGGAUUUGCUGGAUGGUACUGUCACAUUGAUCUGUGGUGAGGCCAAGUGAGUGGCUUCCUUCAGUAGAGGAGCCCGUGCUGUACCAGCAAGGAUGCUCUCUGCCUGCCUCUGCUCUAGCUGCUCGGCUGAGCUCCACCCUGGUGCUCUCACUUGAAAAACAGAGGCUUUGUCGUUCUCAUAGGAUCCACAGUGUCUGAGCUAUCCACGCUGACACCAAUACUACCGCCCUGUGUGGUGGAGCCUCAAUCCUCCAGGCUUCAGCUCAUGCCUGGACUCCACCCACCCCAGGGAAGUCUGGCUUCUGGAAUCAGAGUCUGGGGGAAUCAGAGUGGAGGGGAGCUGGUAGCCAGGAUGGCCAAGGAGAUACAGCAUGCUGGCUGCCCUCAGGAGCAGGAGAGUUACCUGAGUCUGAGCCAGCAGAAGGCCACAGACACCGCCAGUGCCUCUGCCAGGGAAGCACCCACACAGCCUCUAGGGACUCCUGCGUGGCAGCCUGUCCUCCCUGGCCCCUGCUCAGGUUCCCCUUGGAGGCUGUAAGACAGGUGGCCAUGUUAACAGUGCAGGCAUUGGCAUCCCUGAUCCUCCCUGCUCUGUCUUUCCCAAAACACAGCUUCAGAGCAUUGCCACUGGGGGGGCAGCUUCAUGUGAGGCCAUCCUGCUGCCUCUGCCUUGCUGGGUGUUCAUUGCAUUCCCAUAUCAGAACCUCCCUGUGAGGCUCUGGCCUGCCACACCUUCAAGCUAAUCAAGGCUGAAGCAUCCCAGCCUGGAGACCUCUUGCUGACUUCCUCUGUACCAUGUGGUAGUCUAAUGAAGCAGCUCCUGGGGGCAGGCCUGUGCCUGCAUGUGACGGAUUAGAGGCAUCUGAGGUGGCUUCUGCUUCUCCCGUGGCCGGCCCACAUGCCUGGUGCAUGGCCUGCUCCCUGGGAUCCCCCUGGCUGCAUGCUUACUGCAGCGCCAUGCUCCUUUCAAGUCUGAGUGUCACAGAGCCUUUUAUCUUCAGUUCCUGACACACAGUCUGGUAAUUGAUGGCUCGUGGAAUCCGGUUGGAAGUGCAAUUAGAUGGAUGUUGGUUCCUACUGCUCGGAGAGAAGGGCUUGCAUCUAGCUUGCUUUUCUAGAAGCCCAAAGAGAGGAGUGGGUUAUCACAGUAUUUGCCCAUCAGGCCGGGCUCCCUGUCACCUGGUGUGGCUGGUUACCUACAGAGGGGAUGCCCUGAUUUGACACUCACCUUUAAGCCACCUGCUCUCAGAGAUAAGCCCACACCUUCCUGCCAAGUGCAGCUCGCAGAAGCAUGUGCAGAGAGGGAGGGUCUCUUCUGAUCAUGGCGGAGAUGCAUCGCCACCAUGCCUUGGCGGGCUCACAGGGAGACAGGCGGUAGCAGCUUAAACCGCAGCAGUGUUCAAGGCCUGCUGCCCUUUGGCCUCAGCUUGGCACAAGACAGCACUGGUGAGUUUCUAUUCCAGUGAUGGCCAGCCUCUCCCAGUCAGCCCCACCCUCCUCAUUGCAUAUGCAAAUCGUUUGAACUCAUCAGCUAGGGAAUCUCCCCUUUCUAAAAGUAAAUGUUUUUCAAAGCAAGUCAGCCUCAGAAGCCAAACACUGACCAGAAGAUGGUGCUCGAGCACCGAGACUUCGCCUCCCUGUUUCUUCACUGCGGCCCUAGCCUGCUGGCUUUCAGACCGCGCCUGCCAGCCGACCAGGGGAGCUCUCGAUCUGUAAGUGGAGAGGUGGUUCCUCAGUCCAUCGUCCAGGCUUCUGUCAGGAACAGCACCUCACAAGCUGUGGAGGACUUAGGAACUGUAGUGUCACCAACAAAGUCUUUUCCCAGCAAAAGGCAAACCUCACAGAGGUCCUGAGAGAGAAAGUCUCUAAAUACAAAGAGCUGUAAGGUAGAAACCUGAGUGUCUGAGAAACACAGUCUCGUUUUCCUGGAACCUGGGUGGUGUGCUACCUACCUUCAGUCACCAGACCGUAGUUGGCUGCAGAAAGCCUUAGGGCAGGUUGGCUGGCUGCCCAUCCUUGGAUGCCCAGCUCUGUAAUGCACACUGCUGGAGGCACAGCAGUGCUGGGUCUGGAGUAUGGAGAAUUCCUGUCCUCAAUGAGCUCUGUGCUGGUGACUCGCGGCCUCUGCCCCAGCUGCCUGACUUUUUACAGUGGCUCUGAAGAAGGUGAAAAAUCUCCAUCUGCUGCCCCAGAGACCUGCCAUGUGGGCCUCCGUGGUCCACAUUGCUUUUGCAAUGGAACUGUGGCUCCAUUUGCUUCAACCUCAUGAAUACUACCUGCCUAGCCCGUGGGCAGGAGCUAGAGGAGCCUCCAGGUCCCUUGGAAUUUGUGUAUUUAAGCAACGGGGCCCCAGUCUUCCCUAAGGCUCCUGACCCAGCCACCAAAGAGGGGAAGGCGAUGCCAAGCUGGAGUCUGGUUGGCCCGUCGCUGGUGUAUGGACUGAGCAGGUGAGAUUUGCUGUCCACAUGCAUGAGCAGAGCCGAGGCGAGCGUGGCAGAUAAAGGUCUUUCUCAGCUGUUUUAUCAGGAUGGGCUCUACUGUCUUCUAAGCUGUGUGUCAGAAAAGCUUUGAGUUCUGUCAGCAUCCAAGCCUGCUGUACUGUAAGUUCUGGGCCUGUGUGUUGUACUGGCCAUUCUACAGAAGCCUCCAGCCCAUGCUGACCACAGGAGAUACCUCAGCCUUGUCCCUAGUGCCUGAGCACUGAUGGUUAGGACCGAGAUGAGGGACAGAUGCCAAAUGAGGGGGAAAGAUCUCUGUCGUCCUGAGGAUGGAAGGGUGUGCCUUUAAAUUUCUUGUGCCUGAGAACCUGUACUGACAAAGGAUGGAGACCCUGACGGCCCCACUUAGAGUGGGCAGUGCUUGCCAGGAACAGAAGUGUUUCUUCUGGAACUAGAAAGUUGGCCAGGGGUGGAGAUGGCAUUGGUUUGUUCUAGUCAGCUCUCCCACCCCAGCUUUGUUCUUCCGGGUCCCGUCUGUCCCAGCAGACACUUGGAAGAAAUUGAGAGUAAGAGACUUAGGGCUGAGGGAGUCAAAGGAGGUUCAUAGUUUUGUUGCUGUGGAAACCUUGGGGCACUGAGGACUUAUACUAAAACUCAGAAACUCAAACCUACUCCAGUCUAACUGGGCCUAUAAAGAAGAGGAGAGUGUGAGUUCUUUGGGGACUGUGUUGUUGAGGAAAUCGUUCCUUGAGCAAUUUUACAUUGCCUCCAAAUUGUGAAGCUGGCCGCGGUUUCCCUGCCCAAGGCCGCCGCUGCUCGUUUCCACCCAGGGCCAGGACAGCCAGCCCCGUGAGAUGUGAAAACUGAUUGCAAACUAGAGCUGCUCGACAUGCACUGUGGAGAGAAAUAAAGUCUGUACUUAGGAAGC
rnacentral:lncRNA from 1 species